AGCAGCCGCGGUAAUUCCAGCUCCAAUAGCGUAUAUUAAAGUUGUUGCAGUUAAAAAGCUCGUAGUUGAAUUUCGGGGUUAAUAAGUUGGUCGUACCUAUGGUAUGUACUGGCUUUAUUGAUUCCUACCUCUUGACGAACUGUGAUGCCAUUAAUUUGGUGUUGCAAGGAAUCAGGACUGUUACCUUGAAAAAAUUAGAGUGUUUAAAGCAGGCUUACGCUUGAAUACAUUAGCAUGGAAUAAUGAAAUAGGACGUUUGAACCUAUUUUGUGGUUUCUAGGAUCGACGUAAUGAUUAAUAGGGAUAGUUGGGGGCAUUAGUAUUCAAUUGUCAGAGGUGAAAUUCUUGGAUUUAUUGAAGACUAACUACUGCGAAAGCAUUUGCCAAGGAUGUUUUCAUUAAUCAAGAACGAAAGUUAGGGGAUCGAAGACGAUCAGAUACCGUCGUAGUCUUAACCAUAAACUAUGCCGACUAGGGAUCGGAUGAUGUAAUUUUUUAAUGUACUCAUUCGGCGCCUUAC
rnacentral:rRNA from 1 species